GAGUUUGAUCCUGGCUCAGAUUGAACGCUGGCGGCAUGCCUUACACAUGCAAGUCGAACGGCAGCAUGAUCUAGCUUGCUAGAUUGAUGGCGAGUGGCGAACGGGUGAGUAAUACAUCGGAACGUGCCCUGUAGUGGGGGAUAACUAGUCGAAAGAUUAGCUAAUACCGCAUACGACCUGAGGGUGAAAGUGGGGGACCGCAAGGCCUCAUGCUAUAGGAGCGGCCGAUGUCUGAUUAGCUAGUUGGUGGGGUAAAGGCCCACCAAGGCGACGAUCAGUAGCUGGUCUGAGAGGACGAUCAGCCACACUGGGACUGAGACACGGCCCAGACUCCUACGGGAGGCAGCAGUGGGGAAUUUUGGACAAUGGGGGCAACCCUGAUCCAGCAAUGCCGCGUGUGUG
rnacentral:rRNA from 1 species